rnacentral:lncRNA from 1 species
CUUAAAGAUGUUUGCACAAUAGGUUCUGAAUUUGAUCUAAUCAAGUCCAACUCAAUAGAUUUACUAGAUUAUGUCGGUUCUUCUAUCGAUCGGACUUCAUCAAGUUCAAUCUUUGAGAUAUUAGUUUCUUCUCCAAGGAACUCCUUUUCUAGAAAGACUGCCAUAUUGCUGACGAUCACCUUUUGUUCGUCAGCAAGGUAGAAGUAAUAUCCCUUGGUCUCUCUUGGGUACCC